rnacentral:lncRNA from 1 species
ACGGAAAACGAAAAAAUGAACAUAACCUAAUUAAAAGAGGAAAUUAGAGGGAAACAAAGGUAAAACACGGAUUCAGGUAACGUCGGUCCAGUCCUUGAUCAGAGCCGCGACACGUUCGAUAGCCCGGUAGGCGUUGGAAGACCCAUUGCGAAAUAUGAUUCUAUUUCUCUCCGUCCAAACGACCCACCAGAUUGCUGCCAAC